UGGACCAAUGAUGACCACUGGUGGCGUAUGAGUCGUAGACCAUGACUACUGUGUGUCUGGAACUCUGAGGUCCAA
ensembl:snoRNA